rnacentral:hammerhead_ribozyme from 1 species
AUUCAGCUGACGAGUUCCGAAUAAGACUAAACAUGUGUCCUGGAU